GGAUUAGAUACCCUGGUAGUCCACGCCGUAAACGAUGUCUACUAGCCGUUGGGACCCUUGAGGUCUUAGUGGCGCAGCUAACGCACUAAGUAGACCGCCUGGGGAGUACGGUCGCAAGAUUAAAACUCAAAUGAAUUGACGGGGGCCCGCACAAGCGGUGGAGCAUGUGGUUUAAUUCGAAGCAACGCGAAGAACCUUACCAGGUCUUGACAUCCAGAGAACUUACUAGAGAUAGUUUGGUGCCUUCGGGAACUCUGUGACAGGUGCUGCAUGGCUGUCGUCAGCUCGUGCCG
rnacentral:rRNA from 1 species